ACCAGUCGUACGAGAGGGGCUGAAGCACGUUAGUGAAGGAUGUGUGUUCAUCUACUGCCAAGUAACAGACAAGCCUUAGUAAGUGGCAAUGUAUACUCUACCUUCACAGACGUGCGCAAAUUGUAAACUUAGGCGGGAAGGGCCUCAGGGACUCACCCAGUUUCUCUGUUAUAAGUUAAUGUCUGAGAAUUUAAACAAUUAGAAGCUAUGAAAUACAGAUUUAAAAUGCCCACCUGAAUUAAGGGUAAUUCAACGAAUUUGGUCUGGUGUAAACCCAGAAUUUAGCUGGCUUUACUUUUACAUCUUAGUCACGCUUUAAAACUUUGCACAGGGUAAUUAACAGAUUAAACCAUAGUCCUCAAGUUUUUUUUAAGUGUUUGCAAGAACAAUGAUUACUAAAAAAAAUGUAGGGAUAUGUCAAAUAUUAAGCAAACUGUAAACCAAAUAAAUUUUUUUCAUGAUGACUUUUUCUUUCGGAAUAGUUGGAAAGAUCCAAAUAAUGACUUCAGAAAAAACUUGAAAGUAACAGCAGUGCCUACACUACUUAAGUAUGGAACACCUCAAAAACUGGUAGAAUGAGUGUCUUCAGGCCAACCUUGUGGAAAUAUUGUUCUCUGAAGAUUAAGAUUUUAUGAUGGCAGUCAUGUCUUGAUUUCCUGAUUUUAGUAUCAAAAAACUGUAUACUUGCUUUGAAUUCAAUGUUAGCAAUAAAUGAUGUUAAAAAA